rnacentral:rRNA from 1 species
UACGACUACAUAUCAGGCAUAUCAAUAAGCGGAGGAAAAGAAACUAACUAGGAUUCCCUUAGUAACGGCGAGUGAAGCGGGAAGAGCUCAAAUUUGAAAUCUUCAAGGUUCUACCUUGACGAAUUGUAGUUUAAAGAAGUGUUUUCUGUUGGAGUUUUGGUAAAAGUUCUUUGGAAUAGGACAUCAUAGAGGGUGAGAAUCCCGUAUUUGACCAUUACUUCCAGCUGUUGUGAUACACUUUCAAAGAGUCGGAUUGUUUGGGAAUGCAGUCCAAAAUGGGUGGUAAAUUUCAUCUAAAGCUAAAUAUUGGCGAGAGACCGAUAGCGAACAAGUACCGUGAGGGAAAGAUGAAAAGAACUUUGAAAAGAGAGUUAAACAGUACGUGAAAUUGUCAGAAGGGAAGCGUUUGACACCAGUGUUGUUUUCUCGAAAAUCAAUUAAAAAGUAACUGGAUUUUGUAUUGUUAUGACCUUAUCAAGCUUACGUACUUUUUCCUGAUUCUUUUUAAUGCACUUUUCGUUUAACAAGUCAACAUCAGUCUCUUUUGUUGUAAAAGAGUCAUUGGAAGGUGGCUUUCCUUUCGGUAGAAAGUGUUUAUAGCCUUUGACUUCUGUAAUCGGAGAGACUUGAGGUCUGCAGCGUAGAUCCUUCUGGGAUUAGAUACUUAGAUGCUAAGUUAUAGCUUUUCAUAGACAACAUUGUUGACUAUAUUAGUCAUGUAACUUACUCGCUUAUGCCUAAUUUUACCUACGCUUAGGAUGUUGAAUCUGUGCGAGACUA